CAGCAGCCGCGGUGAUACGUAGGUGGCAAGCGUUGUCCGGAAUUAUUGGGCGUAAAGGGCUCGCAGGCGGUUUCUUAAGUCUGAUGUGAAAGCCCCCGGCUCAACCGGGGAGGAUCAUUGGAAACUGGGAAACUUGAGUGCAGAAGAGGAGAGUGGAAUUCCACGUGUAGCGGUGAAAUGCGUAGAGAUGUGGAGGAACACCAGUGGCGAAGGCGACUCUCUGGUCUGUAACUGACGCUGAGGAGCGAAAGCGUGGGGAGCGAACAGGAUUAGAUACCCCGGUAGUCCCUGUCUCUUAUAC
rnacentral:rRNA from 1 species